AUUGAACGCUGGCGGCAUGCCUUACACAUGCAAGUCGAACGGCAGCACGGACUUCGGUCUGGUGGCGAGUGGCGAACGGGUGAGUAAUGUAUCGGAACGUACCCUUCAGUGGGGGAUAACUAUCCGAAAGGAUAGCUAAUACCGCAUAUUCUCUGAGGAGGAAAGCGGGGGAUCGCAAGACCUCGCGCUGAUGGAGCGGCCGAUAUCAGAUUAGCUAGUUGGUGGGGUAAAGGCCUACCAAGGCGACGAUCUGUAGCGGGUCUGAGAGGAUGAUCCGCCACACUGGGACUGAGACACGGCCCAGACUCCUACGGGAGGCAGCAGUGGGGAAUUUUGGACAAUGGGGGCAACCCUGGUCCAGCCAUGCCGCGUGAGUGAAGAAGGCCUUCGGGUUGUAAAGCUCUUUCGGCCGGGAAGAAAUCGCGUGAGUUAAUACCUUGCGUGGAUGACGGUACCGGAAUAAGAAGCACCGGCUAACUACGUGCCAGCAGCCGCCGUAAAAC
rnacentral:rRNA from 1 species